rnacentral:rRNA from 1 species
UACAGAGGGUGCGAGCGUUGUCCGGAAUUACUGGGCGUAAAGCGCACGUAGGCGGCUUUGUAAGUUAGAGGUGAAAGCCCGGGGCUCAACCCCGGAAUUGCCUUUAAGACUGCAUCGCUUGAAUCCGGGAGAGGUGAGUGGAAUUCCGAGUGUAGAGGUGAAAUUCGUAGAUAUUCGGAAGAACACCAGUGGCGAAGGCGGCUCACUGGACCGGUAUUGACGCUGAGGUGCGAAAGCGUGGGGAGCAAACAGG